AGUGAACGCUGGCGGUAGGCCUAACACAUGCAAGUCGAACGGCAGCACAGUAAGAGCUUGCUCUUACGGGUGGCGAGUGGCGGACGGGUGAGGAAUACAUCGGAAUCUACUUUUUCGUGGGGGAUAACGUAGGGAAACUUACGCUAAUACCGCAUACGACCUACGGGUGAAAGCAGGGGAUCUUCGGACCUUGCGCGAUUGAAUGAGCCGAUGUCGGAUUAGCUAGUUGGCGGGGUAAAGGCCCACCAAGGCGACGAUCCGUAGCUGGUCUGAGAGGAUGAUCAGCCACACUGGAACUGAGACACGGUCCAGACUCCUACGGGAGGCAGCAGUGGGGAAUAUUGGACAAGGGGCGCAAGCCUGAUCCAGCCAUACCGCGUGGGUGAAGAAGGCCUUCGGGUUGUAAAGCCCUUUUGUUGGGAAAGAAAAGCAGCAGGUUAAUACCCCGCUGUUCUGACGGGACCCAAAGAAUAAGCACCGGCUAACUUCG
rnacentral:rRNA from 1 species